rnacentral:rRNA from 1 species
UACGGAGGGUGCAAGCGUUGCUCGGAAUUAUUGGGCGUAAAGGGUAGGUAGGUGGUCUCAUUUGUCUGGGGUGAAAGCCUUGAGCUUAACUCAAGAAGUGCCCCAGAAACGGUGAGACUAGAGUUCUGGAGAGGGUCGUGGAAUUCCCGGUGUAGCGGUGAAAUGCGUAGAGAUCGGGAGGAACACCAGAGGCGAAGGCGGCGACCUGGACAGAAACUGACACUCAACUACGAAAGCGUGGGGAGCAAACAGG